UGGGGAAUAUUGCACAAUGGGCGAAAGCCUGAUGCAGCAACGCCGCGUGAGUGAUGAAGGCCUUCGGGUUGUAAAGCUCUGUCUUUUGGGACGAUAAUGACGGUACCAAAGGAGGAAGCCACGGCUAACUACGUGCCGGCAGCCGCGGUAAUACGUAGGUGGCAAGCGUUGUCCGGAUUUACUGGGCGUAAAGGAUGCGUAGGCGGAUUUUUAAGUGAGAUGUGAAAUACCCGGGCUUAACUUGGGUGCUGCAUUUCAAACUGGGAAUCUAGAGUGCGGGAGAGGAGAAUGGAAUUCCUAGUGUAGCGGUGAAAUGCGUAGAGAUUAGGAAGAACACCAGUGGCGAAGGCGAUUCUCUGGACCGUAACUGACGCUGAGGCAUGAAAGCGUGGGUAGCAAACAGGAUUAGAUACCCUGGUAGUCCACGCCGUAAACGAUGAGUACUAGGUGUAGGAGGUAUCGACCCCUUCUGUGCCGCAGUUAACACAAUAAGUACUCCGCCUGGGAAGUACGAUCGCAAGAUUAAAACUUAAAUGAAUUGAC
rnacentral:rRNA from 1 species